rnacentral:rRNA from 1 species
CUCAUGGUUUCACGGUAUUGCAAUGAGAACAAUUUAAAACCCUUAGCGAGAAUCAAGUGGAGGACAAGUCUGGUGCCAGCACCCGCGGUAAUUCCAGCUCCACUAGCGUAUAUUAAAGUUGUUGCAGUUAAAAAGCUCGUAGUUGAACCUCUGUCUGGGGCUAGUUUUGGCUUUGGUCAGGCUAGUUCUAGGCAUCCGCCUACAAGACUUAGAGGGCAUUCAGUUGUUCACUAGGAGGAGUAGGCAUUUUACUUUGAAAAAAUUAGAGUGUUUAAGGCAGGCAAUCGCCCGCAUAUAUUAGCAUGGAAUAAUAGAAUAGGACACUUUUCCAUUUCGUUGGUUAUUGGAAUCGUGUAAUGAUUAAUAGGGACAGUUGUGGGCAUUUGUAUUUAAUUGUCAGAGGUGAAAUUCUUGGAUUUAUUAAAGACAAACUAACGCGAAAGCAUUUGCCAAGGAUGUUUUCAUUAAUCAAGAACGAAAGUUAGGGGAUCAAAGACGAUCAGAUACCGUUCUAGUCUUAACUAUAAACUAUUCCGACUCAAUGUUUGACUGGCUUAUAUAACCAGUUGAGCGUUGUAUGAGAAAUCAAAGUCUUUAGGUUCUGGGGGGAGUAUGGUUGCAAAGCUGAAACUUAAAGGAAUUGACGGAAGAGCACAACCAGGAGUGGAUUCUGCGGCUUAAUUUGACUCAACACGGGGAAACUUACCAGGUUAAAACAAUAGUGGGAUUGACAGUUUGAGAGCGCUUUCUUGAUUGGUUGGGUGGUGGUGCAUGGCCGUUCUUAGUUGGUGGAGUGAUUUGUCUGCUUAAUUGCGUUAACGAACGAGACCUUAACCUGCUUACUAGACUGGCGAUCAUCAAUCGUUAGCUCUUCUUAGAGGGACUUUGGUUGUUUUAACUCCAAGGAAGUUUGAGGCAAUAACAGGUCUGUGAUGCCCUUAGAUAUCCUAGGCCGCACGCGUCAUACAAUGACUAGUUCAGAAAGUUUUCUCCUGACCCGAAAGGGGAUGGGUAAUCUUGAUAAUACUAGUCGUGUUAGGGAUCGAUCUUUGCAAUUAUAGAUCUUGAACGAGGAAUUCCUAGUAAGUGCGGUUCAUCAGACCGUACUGAUUACGUCCCUGCUCUUUGUACACACCGCCCGUCGCUUCUACCGAGUGGGUGGUCCGGUGAGAUAAUUGAACUUCGCAGGUAACUGAGAGGAAAGAUUAUCAAACCUAUCCACCU